rnacentral:rRNA from 1 species
GACGAACGCUGGCGGCGUGCCUAAUACAUGCAAGUUGAGCGCUGAAGGUUGGUACUUGUCCCGACUGGAUGAGCAGCGAACGGGUGAGUAACGCGUGGGGAAUCUGCUUUUGAGCGGGGGACAACAUUUGGAAACGAAUGCUAAUACCGCAUAAAAACUUUAAACACAAGUUUUAAGUUUGAAAGAUGCAAUUGCAUCACUCAAAGAUGAUCCCGCGUUGUAUUAGCUAGUUGGUGAGGUAAAGGCUCACCAAGGCGAUGAUACAUAGCCGACCUGAGAGGGUGGUCGGCCACAAUGGGACUGAGAAACGGCCCAAAACCCUACGGGAGGCAGCAGUAGGGAAUCUUCGGCAAUGGACGGAAGUCUGACCGAGCAACGCCGAGGGAGGGAAGAAGGGUGUCGGAUCGUAAAACUCUGUUGGUAGAGAAGAACGUUGGUGAGAGUGGAAAGCUCAUCAAGUGACGGUAACUACCCAGAAAGGGACGGCUAACUACGUG